ACUCAGGAUGGGGUCAUGGCUGAGACUAUGAGGGCUGCUCGUGCAUGACCCUGCCUGCUGGCCUCCAUGGGCCCACUAUCUGAAUGUGGUUACCCUUCUCCCCAGGACCAGGUGCCACCUCCUCUGGGAAGCUUUCCCUGCCCGUCCACAGGGUAUGCCUCCUUGUUCCUCUCCUGCCAUCGGUUUACGUGCCUGUCUCCAUCAACAGACCAGGAGCUCCUGAGGACAGGGACUGAGUCUGCCUGAUUCAUCUCUGCAUUCCUAGCACUUACCUUGGUGCUUAGUGAAAGCUCGAACCUGCCUGGGUUCCCACCUUGUCUCUGCUACCCCCAGCUCUGUGAACUCAGAGUCAUUUUUCUCUCCCCGAGUGGCACCGGGCUCAGCAGACACUCUGGCCAUGAAGGCAUCUUCUGACUCAAGCAGGCUGGAGUGCAAUGGCGUGAUCUCGGCUCACUGCAACCUCUGCCUCCCAGGUUCAAGCAAUUCUCCUGCCUCAGCCUCCCGAGUAGCUGGGAUUAUAGGCAUGCACCACCACGCCCAGAGCCAACUACUAAGCCUGUAGCAGCCUCCCAAACUGCCCAGUCUUGUUCAGAUGCACCUCCAGAAACACAGGGGUCCAAAAUGCCCCUUCCCAGACACCCUGAGGAGUAGAACAGUGCCAGCAGGCUCCAGGGAUGAGGGACUAGCUACCACAUUCCCUUUCCCAAGCCUCAGUUUCCCCACCUGUAAGAUGAGGGAUAUGGGCUCUGACUUUCUGAGUUUGGAAAAUAAAGUGCUCCCCAAACUGG